rnacentral:rRNA from 1 species
GACGUAGGGCGCAAGCGUUGUCCGGAAUUAUUGGGCGUAAAGAGCUCGUAGGUGGCUUGUCACGUCGGGUGUGAAAGCUUGGGGCUUAACUCCAGGUCUGCAUUCGAUACGGGCUGGCUAGAGGUAGGUAGGGGAGAACGGAAUUCCAGGUGUAGCGGUGAAAUGCGUAGAUAUCUGGAGGAACACCGGUGGCGAAGGCGGCAUCCUGGACCAACACUGACGCUGAGGAGCGAAAGCCAGGGGAGCAAACGGG